rnacentral:rRNA from 1 species
AGUGAACGCUGGCGGUAGGCCUAACACAUGCAAGUCGAACGGCAGCACAGUAAGAGCUUGCUCUUACGGGUGGCGAGUGGCGGACGGGUGAGGAAUACGUCGGAAUCUACUUUUUCGUGGGGGAUAACGUAGGGAAACUUACGCUAAUACCGCAUACGACCUACGGGUGAAAGCAGGGGAUCUUCGGACCUUGCGCGAUUGAAUGAGCCGAUGUCGGAUUAGCUAGUUGGCGGGGUAAAGGCCCACCAAGGCGACGAUCCGUAGCUGGUCUGAGAGGAUGAUCAGCCACACUGGAACUGAGACACGGUCCAGACUCCUACGGGAGGCAGCAGUGGGGAAUAUUGGACAAUGGGCGCAAGCCUUAUCCAGCCAUACCGCGUGGGUGAAGAAGGCCUUCGGGUUGUAAAGCCCUUUUGUUGGGAAAGAAAAGCAGCAGGUUAAUACCCCGCUGUUCUGACGGUACCCAAAGAAUAAGCACCGGCUAACUUCGUG